CCUGAAGGGAGGCAGUGAGCUUAAGAAUUUUCAAGAGCUUAUCAUCAAUCAGUCAGCCCUUGUUUCUUUUAAUGGUUUGACAUCAGAGGUGGGAUCUCAAGUAGACCUCCAGUGACUUCCAGGAGCACUGAGUGACCAAACAAAUAUACCCACCAGGGCCCACUGGGGAGAUUUAGCUCUCUCAGCAACUGGGGUCAUAGAUCAAAUUGGAUUGGA
rnacentral:lncRNA from 1 species